rnacentral:rRNA from 1 species
AACGAACGCUGGCGGCGCGCCUAAUACAUGCAAGUCGAGCGAGAAGACGUAGCAAUACGUUUGUAAAGCGGCGAACGGGUGAGGAAUACAUGGGUAACCCACCCUCGAGUGGGGAAUAACUAGCCGAAAGGUUAGCUAAUACCGCGUACGCUCCUUGGACUUCGGUUCAGGGAGGAAAGCGAUACCGUGGGUAUCGCGCUCUUGGAUGGGCUCAUGUCCUAUCAGCUUGUUGGUGAGGAACGGCUCACCAAGGCUUCGACGGGUAGCUGGUCUGAGAGGACGAUCAGCCACACUGGCACUGCGACACGGGCCAGACUCCUACGGGAGCAGCAGUAAGGAAUAUUGCGCAAUGGGCGAAAGCCUGACGCAGCGACGCCGC